rnacentral:lncRNA from 1 species
UCUUAGAACUGGGGUUCUUAGAAGUGGUGAUGCAAGAAGUUUCUAGGAAAGGCCGGACACCAGGUUUUGAGCAAAAUUUUGGACUGUGAAGCAAGGCAUUGGGUAAGUAAAUAAAAUUAUAUGCUUUAAAAUGUUGGGACAAACUGUUUCUUUUGAAUUUGCCAAUACAUGUGUCUCUGUGAACUUUGCCACUGUUCAUUAUAUGAGACAAGGAUAACCAGUUCCCUCUACAUCACUCCUAGUCCUCAUCCUUCACCUCUGUAUUAGACUGUCUUACCACUUGCAUGGUCAAUCAUUGUUACUCUUUCUUUGUACAAACUAAUUUAGCCAGCUAAUGUUCACCAACAAUAUGCUAGCUCCUCGAGGUACAAAAGUCAAGCAACUCUAAAGCCUAACAGUAGAGAGAGACCAAUGGUGACUGAGAUGAUGAAAUAAGAUACCUAUGAGAAUAGCUAUGAGUUUUGAGAGCCUCCUAUGAACGAGGAAUGUAUUUCUAACUUUUAUAACCACAUAGGUAUUACUACUU